AUGGGCAGCUGUGUCCUCUGCUAUGUGACCCUGUGUCUCCUGGGAGCAGACGCCAUUCCAGCUCACUGGGGCUGGAUGGGAUGUGACCCUGGAGUAGAAACAAUUUGAGACACAAUGACAUGUACUGGUACUGGUACUGGCAGGACCCAAAGCAAAAUCUGAGACUGAUCUAUUACUCAAGGGUUGAAAAGGAUAUUCAGAGAGGAGACCUAACUGAAGGCUACGGUGUCUCCCGAGAGGAGAAGGGGCUGUUUCUUCUCAUGGUGAAGCUGGCCCACACCAGCCAAACAGCUCUGUACUUCUGUCCUGGGAGUGCAC